rnacentral:rRNA from 1 species
AGAGUUUGAUCCUGGCUCAGGAUGAACGCUAGCGACAGGCCUAACACAUGCAAGUCGAGGGGUAGAAAAAGCUUGCUUUUUUGAGACCGGCGCACGGGUGAGUAACGCGUAUGCAACCUACCUUAUACUGGGGGAUAGCCCAAAGAAAUUUGGAUUAAUACCGCAUAACAUAUUUGAAUCGCAUGGUUUAAAUAUUAAAACUCCGGUGGUAUAAGAUGGGCAUGCGUAGCAUUAGUUUGUUGGUGAGGUAACGGCUCACCAAGACUAUGAUGCUUAGGGGGUCUGAGAGGAUAGUCCCCCACACUGGUACUGAGACACGGACCAGACUCCUACGGGAGGCAGCAGUGAGGAAUAUUGGUCAAUGGGCGAAAGCCUGAACCAGCCAUGUCGCGUGCAGGAUGACGGCCCUAUGGGUUGUAAACUGCUUUUUUACAGGAAUAAUUGCAGAUACGUGUAUCUGUUUGAAUGUACUGUAUGAAUAAGAUCGCUAACU